AAUUACUCUCCCAAAACUUUUGGAGCCAUUUUUGACAUUUUCUCACAUAUAGAAUAUCCUUAUUAUAAAUUUUUUGAAUAUUUUGCAUAGCUUCAGUAUCACUAUUUUCUUCUUUUGAAUUUAUAAAGCAUUACAUGCCAAUGAUAUUUUAUGAAAAAUUUAUAUUAACAAAAACAAUUGUCGUGACUGCUCAAUUUAUAAAACAGAGAUGGGCAAUCUUUUUCUGUGUAAGAGCUACAUUUAAAACUUUCACACUGAUGUGGGUCACAUAUAAGAGGAAAAAAAGCAAUAUAUGGGUAGAUCACAAUUAUUUAAUCAUAUAUGAUUAUAAAUUAACAUAGGUAUACUUAAUGUGACUUCUGGAACUGAU
rnacentral:lncRNA from 1 species